GUAUAAUCAUACGAGCGGCUCAAGAUCAUUUGCAUCGCGAGCAUCUAUCAUUGUACAAGGAAGCAAACCGACUAUUACGAAACUAUUCGAGGACACCCACAAACGUCACCGACAUGGGGGAGUGUGGAUAAAUAACACAGCUGAGGAACAUCAUGCCACUAUGGUUUCAAAGAUCGCUAAGCAAUCUCAACCUAGUGUCACACACCCAU